UUCUGAUGAUCUCGUGCUUUCCUUUGGUGGGUCCCCUCAAGGGAAGUUGUAAAGGUGGUCCAUUCACUCUUCUCACUCAGCAACCAGCCAUUUUGUUCACUGAUGGUUGGGUGACCUCUUUGCCAUGACCAAUCAGUAACACAAUAGUAGAGGUCUGUUUGCUGUUCUAGGUGAGACAGCUGAGAUUAUAUUUUCAAGAAAAAUGGACUGGGGAGAGUGAGGAGAACACGAGGGCCCACUCGAGCACGGGACGUAUGGAGCCUACCUGAGGAUGAGAAGAUUGUCGUCCAUUGCAACGAACUGGGGCAGCCCAUCAAGAAUGCUGCAAGCAUUUUAUCAACUUUUUUAGGAUCGGUUGCGCGGAAGGGACAAUUGUGUCCACUCAACUAUACGAAAUGGAACGAAAUGCUUCCUUCGUAUAAGGUUGAGCUUCUUAGAGUUGUUGAGACAAAAUUUGUCCUUCCUGCAAAUAGCCAUGAUUGGGUGCUGAAGUCCGUCAACCGCAAAUGGAAAGAAUAUAAGGCGAAGCUAAAGGCGGAUUGGAAGCACGAGGGCAUGACUGAAGAGGAGGUGGCCCGUGUUUGUCCUCCAGAUGUAAUCUCUCAUCAGUGGAGGGAGCUUGUCCACUACUGGUUUUCCGAGAGAGCUCAGGUUGUGUAUAUUUUUUCAAUACCUUAGAUUGUAUUUACUAUUAUUAUAGAUUAGAAAUUUAUACAUUUUAUGCAUUACAUUGUUUAUUGUUUUUCGGGGAAGACAUAUUCCAAUAUUGGUAGAGCUGCUCGAGCAUCACAGACUGUUCCUCACACUUCAGGCUCCAUGAGUUAUGCGAGGCG